UACGUAGGGGGCAAGCGUUGUCCGGAUUUAUUGGGCGUAAAGAGCGUGUAGGCGGCCAUGUAGGUCCGUUGUGAAAACUCGAGGCUCAACCUCGAGACGUCGGCGGAAACCAUCUGGCUAGAGUCCGGAAGAGGAGAGUGGAAUUCCUGGUGUAGCGGUGAAAUGCGUAGAUAUCGUAAGGAAGACCAGUGGCGAAGGCGGGCCUCUGGACAGUUCCUGACGCUGAGGCACGAAGGUCAGGGGAGCAAACGGG
rnacentral:rRNA from 1 species